rnacentral:rRNA from 1 species
AUUGAACGCUGGCGGCAUGCUUUACACAUGCAAGUCGAACGGUAACAGGCCGCUAGGUGCUGACGAGUGGCGAACGGGCGAGUAAUGCAUCGGAACGUGCCCAGUCGUGGGGGAUAACUACUCGAAAGAGUAGCUAAUACCGCAUACGAUCUAUGGAUGAAAGCGGGGGACCGUAAGGCAUCGCGCGAUUGGAGCGGCCGAUGUCAGAUUAGGUAGUUGGUGGGGUAAAGGCUCACCAAGCCAACGACCUGUAGCUGGUCUGAGAGGACGACCAGCCACACUGGAACUGAGACACGGCCCAGACUCCUACGGGAGGCAGCAGUGGGGAAUUUUGGACAAUGGGCGCAAGCCUGAUCCAGCAAUGCCGCGUGCAGGAAGAAGGCCUUCGGGUUGUAAACUGCUUUUGUACGGAACGAAACGGCUCUGGUUAAUACCCGGGGCUAAUGACGGUACCGGAAGAAUAAGCACCGGCUAACUACGUG